UACGGAGGAUGCAAGCGUUAUCCGGAAUGAUUGGGCGUAAAGCGUCCGCAGGUGGCUGUGUAAGUCUGCUGUCAAAGAGCAAAGCUCAACUUUGUAAAGGCAGUGGAAACUACACGGCUAGAGUGCGUUCGGGGCAGAGGGAAUUCCUGGUGUAGCGGUGAAAUGCGUAGAGAUCGGGAGGAACACCAAAGGCGAAAGCACUCUGCUGGGCCGCGACUGACACUGAGAGACGAAAGCGAGGGGAGCAAAUGGG
rnacentral:rRNA from 1 species